rnacentral:rRNA from 1 species
AAUGAACGUUGGCGGCGUGGAUUAGGCAUGCAAGUCGAGCGUACCUAGCAAUAGGGAAGCGGCAAACGGGGUAGUAAGGCGUCGGUACGUGCCUCCUGGACGGGGACAGCCACGGGAAACUGUGGGUAAUACCCGAUGAUGUCGGAAGACCAAAGGUGUGAUUCCGCCGGGAGAGCGGCUGACGUGGUAUUAGGUAGUUGGUAAGGUAAUGGCUUACCAAGCCUGGGAUGCCUAGGGGGUGUGAGAGCAUGGCCCCCACCAUUGGGACUGAGACACUGCCCAGACACCUACGGGUGGCUGCAGUCGAGAAUCUUCGGCAAUGGGCGCAAGCCUGACCGAGCGACGCCGCGUGCGGGAUGAAGGCCCUCGGGUUGUAAACCGCUGUCAGGGGGGAUGAAAUGCAUCGGGGUUCUCCCCGGUGUUUGACAGAGCCCCAGAGGAAGCACGGGCUAAGUUCGUGCCAGCAGCCGCCGUAAGAC